GACGAACGCUGGCGGCGUGCCUAAUGCAUGCCAGUCGCACGCGGCACCUUCGGGUGCUGCGUGGCGAACGGCUGAGGAACACGUGGGGACCUGUCCGGGAGUGGGGGACAACACCGCGAAAGCGGUGCUAAUCCCGCAUACGCUCUGAGGAGGAAAGCCGAAAGGCGCUCCCGGGUGGCCCUGCGGCCCAUCAGGUUGUUGGUGGGGUAACGGCCUACCAAGCCAAUGACGGGUCGCUGGUCUGUGAGGACGACCAGCCAGACGGGGACUGGGACACGGCCCAGACUCCUACGGGAGGCAGCAGCAAGGAAUUUUCGGCAAUGGGCGCAAGCCUGACCGAGCAACGCCGCGUGCAGGAAGACGGCCUUCGGGUUGUAAACUGCUUUUGCUAGGGAUGAUAACAGACAGUACCUGGCGAAUCAGCCCCGGCUAACUCUGUG
rnacentral:rRNA from 1 species